CCACCGCGGUUAUACGAGAGACCCAAGCUGAUAGUCAACGGCGUAAAGGGUGGUUAGAAGGAAUCCAUUACUAAAGCCGAACGCCCUCAAAGCUGUUAUACGCAUCCGAAGGUGAGAAGCUCACCCACGAAAGUAGCUUUACAACCUUGAAUCCACAAAAGCUAAGAAACAAACUGGGAUUAGAUACCCCACUAUGCUUAGUCGUAAACAUUGACAACAACACACACCUGUUGUCCGCCUGGGAACUACGAGCGCCAGCUUAAAACCCAAAGGACUUGGCGGUGCUUUAGAUCCACCUAGAGGAGCCUGUUCUAGAACCGAUACCCCCCGUUCAACCUCACCCUUCCUUGUUCCCCCCGCCUAUAUACCGCCGUCGUCAGCUUACCCUGUGAAGGACUUAUAGUAAGCAAAAUUGGCACAGCCCAAAACGCCAGGUCGAGGUGUAGCGUAUGGAAGGGGAAGAAAUGGGCUACAUUCUCUAAUCUCAGAGAAAACGAAUGAUGCACUGAAACACGCAUCUGAAGGAGGAUUUAGCAGUAAGCAGGAAAUAGAGUGUCCUGCUGAAAUUGGCCCUGAAGCGCGCACACACCGCCCGUCACUCUCCCCCUAACUAGCCGGACUUAGUUAAAUCACACCACACCCCUAGUUAUUU
rnacentral:rRNA from 1 species